ACGGAAGGCAGCAGUGGGGAAUAUUGCACAAUGGGGGAAACCCUGAUGCAGCGACGCCGCGUGAGUGAAGAAGUAUUUCGGUAUGUAAAGCUCUAUCAGCAGGGAAGAAAAUGACGGUACCUGACUAAGAAGCCCCGGCUAACUACGUGCCAGCAGCCGCGGUAAUACGUAGGGGGCAAGCGUUAUCCGGAUUUACUGGGUGUAAAGGGUGCGUAGGCGGCACGGCAAGUCAGAAGUGAAAGACCGGGGCUCAACUCCGGGGCUGCAUUUGAAACUGCCAGGCUGGAGUACAGGAGAGGCAGGCGGAAUUCCUAGUGUAGCGGUGAAAUGCGUAGAUAUUAGGAGGAACACCAGUGGCGAAGGCGGCCUGCUGGACUGUUACUGACGCUGAGGCACGAAAGCGUGGGGAGCAAACAGGAUUAGAUACCCUGGUA
rnacentral:rRNA from 1 species